UACUAGGGUCAAAAACCCGAAAAUCCGACGCAAGCUUGCUUGCAGGAGGAUUUUUGAGUUUGGGACCCGCCAAAAACAUGAAUAAGGAGCCAUUUUUGAAGAAAAAAUGCGCGGAUUACAAAUGUUUUUAGGAUUGCGGGAGUGCAGAGCACGUAGCAAUCCGA
rnacentral:sRNA from 1 species